CUCAAAAGUACCUCUAAAAAGAUCAAAGAUGAAUUGUGGUUAGAAGGCAAUGUUUCUCCAGUGAAGUCUCCACUAGAAUUAUAUCUUCAAGCUUUCGUUACCUGAUUAUGUUCAAAUUCAAGAUCCCUCAUUGCCAGUGCUCAGUUUAUUACGAGUAUUGUAUGCCAUAAAUCAAUACUGGACUUCUUUGUAUCCCACACAACUUCAUAAUAAUGCAAUUAUCCCAUUUAACGAAUUCAUAAAUGUUAAAAUAUCAGCCAAAGCAAACCGACAACUUCAAGAUCCAUUAGUAAUUAUG